rnacentral:rRNA from 1 species
AGUGAACGCUGGCGGUAGGCCUAACACAUGCGAGUCGAACGGCAGCACAGUAAGAGCUUGCUCUUACGGGUGGCGAGUGGCGGACGGGUGAGGAAUACAUCGGAAUCUACUUUUUCGUGGGGGAUAGCGUAGGGAAACUUACGCUAAUACCGCAUACGACCUACGGGUGAAAGCAGGGGAUCUUCGGACCUUGCGCGAUUGAAUGAGCCGAUGUCGGAUUAGCUAGUUGGCGGGGUAAAGGCCCACCAAGGCGACGAUCCGUAGCUGGUCUGAGAGGAUGAUCAGCCACACUGGAACUGAGACACGGUCCAGACUCCUACGGGAGGCAGCAGUGGGGAAUAUUGGACAAUGGGCGCAAGCCUGAUCCAGCCAUACCGCGUGGGUGAAGAAGGCCUUCGGGUUGUAAAGCCCUUUUGUUGGGAAAGAAAAGCAGCAGGUUAAUACCCCGCUGUUCUGACGGUACCCAAAGAAUAAGCACCGGCUAACUUCGUG